GAUGAACGCUGGCGGCGUGCUUAACACAUGCAAGUCGAACGGGAAACCUUUUAUUGAAGCUUCGGCAGAUUUAGCUGGUUUCUAGUGGCGGACGGGGGAGUAACGCGUGGGUAACAUGCCUUCUACAGGGGGAUAACAACCAGAAAUGGUUGCUAAUACCGCAUAAGCGCACAGGACCGCAUGGUCCGGUGUGAAAAACUCCGGUGGGAUAAGAUGGACCCGCGUUGGAUUAGCUAGUUGGCAGGGUAACGGCCUACCAAGGCGACGAUCUAUAGCCGGCCUGAGAGGGUGAGCGGCCACAUUGGGACUGAGACACAGCCCAGAACCUUACGGGAUGCAGCAGAGGGUAAUACAGCAAAAUGGGGGAAACCCUGAUGCAGCGCCGGCGCGAGAAGGAAGAAGUAUGUCGGGAAGUAAACUUCUAUCAGCAGUGAAGAUAGUGACGGUACCUGACGAAGAAGCCCCGGCUAACUACGUG
rnacentral:rRNA from 1 species